GAGAUUUACAGUUAUUUGCACCCUUGUAGGUGGGAAACAUUGCGUUCCUGUGAGAAACGUGUAGUGGACUCCACCGCCACUGACCAAUAUUUAUUAGGGUGUGACGCAAACUUGUGGACAGGUAAGUAAAACAAUACAGUUGGAGGGAUACUCCUGCUGCGUUUUACUGUCCAGUGUAAGUCAUCUCCUGCUUUCAUUCACAGAGUACCGAGCUGCUGCUUUGCCGAGUGGAUUUCUGGCUGCGGGCAAAGGACCCGACACAUCAGUGUGUUUUAAUUUGUUUUAACCUGGUGUAACUCGACGGACUGUGACUGCUGCGGCUGUCGGUUUUGUUUGCUUCUUGUUUUAUUUUUCUGUAUCAGUAGGCACCGUAGAUAUUGAUUGUCUUUUAGUGUUUUAUAUGAAAACACCUUUUUUUAUAUAUAUAUCGUUGCAGACGGUGAAGACGCUGCGUGGAAUACAAAUUCUUUGUUUUGGUCUUGCCGCUUUUUGCAUGCACCGCGCGGGGCACAGAGACUGAUCCAGCUGCAGUCUAAUCAGCACUGACAACAGUUAUGAACGAAUAGUCAUCAGACAAAAGUGGACCAGAGGGAGAACGGCACUUUAUUCUCAAUGCUGGACAGAACCAACCAGCUGCUGGUCUCUAACUGCUUCCCAGCACCUCAGACCAGAGGAGGGACACAGUGAGACCUGAAACAUCAGAGCUGUGACGUUUAGACCAAAGCAAUUCCUGCACAUCCACCGAAGAGGUUUAAAUCUGAAGAUGACACAGCGGGAGAAGCUCUAGUGGUCAUAUAUAAACCAUGUGUGAGGAUGGUGUUAAUGUAAAAUGUGAAUCAUAGUGUUCCAGUCAGUCAUCAGUGUGUCUCUGCACAGCUGUAAUUAAAAUGUGUUCAGAGGG